CCUGGGGAGUACGGCCGCAAGGUUAAAACUCAAAUGAAUUGACGGGGGCCCGCACAAGCGGUGGAGCAUGUGGUUUAAUUCGAUGCAACGCGAAGAACCUUACCUACCCUUGACAUCGUGCGAACUUGGUAGAGAUACCUUGGUGCCUUCGGGAACGCACAGACAGGUGCUGCAUGGCUGUCGUCAGCUCGUGUUGUGAAAUGUUGGGUUAAGUCCCGUAACGAGCGCAACCCUUGUCCCUAUUUGCCAGCGAUUCGGUCGGGAAC
rnacentral:rRNA from 1 species